rnacentral:rRNA from 1 species
AUGGGUCGGCAGAAAAUUUGGAGGGAUAGGAUCAAUGCCCACAACAGAUUGAUCAGGCAUUAUUUUGCGAAGAAUCCCACAUACCCCGAGUCGUAUUUUCGUCGCCGGUUUAGGAUGAGCACCGAGUUGUUCAGGCGCAUUGCAGAGAAACUAGCGAGCCAUGACCGCUUUUUUCAGCAAAGGAGGAAUGUCGCCGGAGAGCUCGGGCAUAGCACUUUUCAGAAGAUGACAGCCGCUUUGCGUAUGUUGGCAUACGGUAUAUCGGCUGAUCUAGUUGAUAAUCACUUGGCUAUGGGUGAGAGCCAAGCCAUCAUGUGUGUCAAGCGCUUUGCAGUCGGAAUUGUGCAAGUGUUUGACGAGGAGUAUUUGAGAUCUCCCAAUGUUGAAGACGUCGCAAGGCUAUUGGUGGUGAACAAAGCUCGCGGCUUUCCUGGCAUGCUUGGCUCAAUAGAUUGCGUGCAUCGGAGUUGGAAGAAUUGUCCAAAGGCAUGGCAUGAACAAUUCCACGGCCAAAAAAAGGGUUCCACUAUAAUCCUUGAAGCGGUGGCCGAUCAAGAGACUUGGAUUUGGCAUGCAUUCUUUGGAAUGCCUGGAUCUUUAAAUGACAUCAAUGUUGUCAACCGGUCACCAUUGAUGAAUAAGAUUGCAAAUAGUGAGUUACCACCGGUGCAGUUUGUAGCAAAUAGCCGUACGCACAACUAUGGCUAUUAUCUAGCGGAUGACAUCCAUCCAAAGUGGCAAACCUUUGUCAAGCCGUUGAAAAAGCCAGAAGGUAAGAAAGAACUUGAUUUCCACAAUGCUCAGGCGGUGGCUAGAAAAGAUGUGGUGAGAGCUUUUGGGAUUUUGAAGCCCAAUUUGCUACUAUGA